rnacentral:rRNA from 1 species
UACGGAGGAUGCAAGCGUUAUCCGGAAUGAUUGGGCGUAAAGCGUCCGCAGGUGGCUGUGUAAGUCUGCUGUCAAAGAGCAAAGCUCAACUUUGUAAAGGCAGUGGAAACUACACGGCUAGAGUGCGUUCGGGGCAGAGGGAAUUCCUGGUGUAGCGGUGAAAUGCGUAGAGAUCGGAAAGAACACCAACGGCGAAAGCACUCUGCUGGGCCGACACUGACACUGAGAGACGAAAGCUAGGGGAGCAAACGGG